UGGGGAAUUUUGGACAAUGGGGGCAACCCUGAUCCAGCCAUGCCGCGUGAGUGAAGAAGGCCUUCGGGUUGUAAAGCUCUUUCGGACGGAACGAAAUGGUCAGGGUGAAUAUCCCUGACUGAUGACGGUACUGUAAGAAGAAGCACCGGCUAACUACGUGCCAGCAGCCGCGGUAAUACGUAGGGUGCGAGCGUUAAUCGGAAUUACUGGGCGUAAAGGGUGCGCAGGCGGCCGCGCAAGUCAGGUGUGAAAUCCCCGGGCUUAACCUGGGAAUUGCGCUUGAAACUAUGCGGCUAGAGUGUGGCAGAGGGGGGUGGAAUUCCACGUGUAGCAGUGAAAUGCGUAGAGAUGUGGAGGAACACCGAUGGCGAAGGCAGCCCCCUGGGCCAACACUGACGCUCAGGCACGAAAGCGUGGGGAGCAAACAGGAUUAGAUACCCCCGUAGUCCCCUGAGCGGGCUGGCAAGGCGCAU
rnacentral:rRNA from 1 species